UACGGAGGAUGCAAGCGUUAUCCGGAUUUAUUGGGUUUAAAGGGUGCGUAGGCGGAUAUGUAAGUCAGCGGUGAAACUCACAGGCUCAACCUGUGCCGUGCCGUUGAAACUGUGUAUCUGGAAUGCGGAUGCUGUGGGAGGAAUGUGUAGUGUAGCGGUGAAAUGCAUAGAUAUUACACAGAACACCGAUUGCGAAGGCAUCUCACAAAGCCGUUAUUGACGCUGAGGCACGAAAGUGUGGGGAGCAAA
rnacentral:rRNA from 1 species